UUUAUAGGAUCGGAUAAGCAAUUUGAAUUCUGAAAAGAAAGAUCAACUUUUUGCAUUUCAGGGGUGAUAUUAGAACUUCAUGGUUGUUUGCACAGUUCAACUUAAAGAUCACAAUCCUGAACACAUCGAUGAAUAAAAAUGUCUUCCCCAUGCCUACAGCAUUCAAGCCACCCGAAGUAUAUUGGGGUUCCAAAACUCUGGGAUGGAUUUCACCAAAGCCUGAAUUUCAUAUUCCAACCAGGAGAUGACAAGGAAAGCCUCCUAAAUUGUCUGCAGCUGAACAAACAUGGGAGCCAUGCCACGUGGGAGCAACAACAGAAGACAGCCUGGCACUUACAACUUUGACUUAUCAGUCAUUACUCUAAAUCAUAGCAUAGCUGUCAUCUUUCUAGUCAGUUGAAUAUGUCUAUUUUUAGCCAUUAGUCAUGUUCUCUGCAAUACCAGCACUUCUGGGCCUGGAAUGGUAGAGAUUUGAUCACAGUUUAAGGCUUGUGUGUGUGUGUGUGUGUGUGUGUGUGUGUGUGUGUGUGUGCAUGAGUGCGCGUGUGUGUAUGGGAAGUAGGGGCAAAUUUUAACAAAAUUCCACCUGGCUGCUUUUGAGCUUCCAAGUUUGAAAGAAGAAAAUUGGUGUUGGCAUGCUAAGACUUUUCCAAUGUAAGUAUCAAACAUAUGUUAGAGGAAUAACAGGCAGGGGGUGGAGGGGGGAGAGCAGAGUAUAAAUCUAGUUUCAUAUGGAAUAUUUACUUGUUAUUCCAAGUAACAGUUUUAGCUGCAUAUGAAUCACAAAAGCAUGG
rnacentral:lncRNA from 1 species